rnacentral:rRNA from 1 species
UACGAAGGGGGCUAGCGUUGUUCGGAAUUACUGGGCGUAAAGGGCGCGUAGGCGGUGCGUCAAGUCAGGCGUGAAAGCCCCGGGCUCAACCUGGGAACCGCGCUUGAGACUGGCACGCUCGAGUUCGGGAGAGGAUGGUGGAAUUCCCAGUGUAGAGGUGAAAUUCGUAGAUAUUGGGAAGAACACCGAUAGCGAAGGCAGCUUACUGGGCUGUAACUGACGCUGAGGCACGAAAGUGUGGGGAUCAAACAGG